GUAACACCCAAAGCACCGGGGUUUGCUACUGAGAAACCGGGCAGACCCCAGCAUGGAACGGGGAAACACAGGAGCCUGCCAGCAGGCAGCAAUGAACAGAACCGUGCCAACGAAACACUCAGCUGCACUUUUGGACCGAGCAGAGGCUCCAUCCCCCGGCACAGGGACAGCGCAGCCCAGGCUCCUCGGGAUUCCCCGGCAGGGAAGGUCCCAGACCCCAGCUCCAAAGGAACUCGCUGACAGCACACAAGCCCGUGAUUUAUGCCUAGCGAGUGCCAGGUGAUUUACGCACUAACAAGUGCUGGUGGCAGGGGAUUUCUAACGCGCCGGGGCUGUCGGCAGAGCCAGCCCGAGCAUCGCUUAGCGCUGCUGGCGGCACCGCGGCCGCCUCCGGAGCCGGGAGCGCCGGCUGCAGCCGGGGAGCGGAGCGGGAGCGGCGCAUCCCCGGCACGGUGCGAGCCGGGCUGCACUGCCUCCCCCGGGAGCACCGAACCCCAGCCCUGCCGCACACACAGCGCUGCUCCAACCGCACAGCGAGCACCACAGAAGGGUCCGCUGGAUGAGCUUAGUAAGCAGAACACAAGCCAAUGCACUCGGCUUAAAAUCACGGAUGCCAGCUACUGCAUGGGAAGCGGCGGCUCCGUUGGACUCUGACCGCGGCUGGCAAGAUGUUGCCAUUAGGAAAUAUUUCGGAGGGUCUCCCCGAGCAUCGCGGGCUUUCAGUGUGAAAUCGCCCCAUUAUUAGAGCGGUGCUCGCUAGGCGAGAGCGCAUCGGGGCUAUUCCUGAGCACCCACCAGGCUCGGGACAUCCUCACGGAUUCCACUUGGCACCGGGGGAUUGAGGCACAAAAAUAAGCGGCUCUUGUUCCCACAGGCAGCCCAGCCCGAAACCCAGCAGGCGCCCGGCUCGCUCUGUAACACCGUAACACUGUAGCCACGCGUUCCGCCGCUUGUUGAUGUUGUACAGAAACCCUUCAAUUUCAGGCGGCGUGGGAAUAAAACCAUAAAACCCCAAACUUUUCACAGCAUCACCCCCGCAGCUCGAUCCGGGCCCGCUCGGGGGGUUUA